rnacentral:rRNA from 1 species
AUUGAACGCUGGCGUCAUGCCUUACACAUGCAAGUCGAACGGUAACAGGUCCUCGGAUGCUGACGAGUGGCGAACGGGUGAGUAAUACAUCGGACCGUGCCUAGUAGUGUGGGAUAACUACUCGAAAGAGUGGCUAAUACAGCAUGAGAUGUAGGGAUGAAAGCAGGGGAUCGCAAAACCUGGUGCUACUAGAGCGGCCGAUGGCAGAUGAGGUGGUUGGUGGGAUAAAAGCUUACGAAGCCGACGAUCUGUAGCUGGUCUGAGAGGACGAUCAGCCACACUGGGACUGAGACACGGCCCAGACUCCUACGGGAGGCAGCAGUGGGGAAUUUUGGACAAUGGGCGAAAGCCUGAUCCAGCAAUGCCGCGUGCAGGAUGAAGGCCUUCGGGUUGUAAACUGCUUUUGUACGGAACGAAAAGCCCCGGGUUAAUACCCUGGGGUCAUGACGGUACCGUAAGAAUACGCACCGGCUAACUACGUGCCAGCCGCCGCCGUAA